rnacentral:lncRNA from 1 species
UCCAGUACGGAGUUUCAAUAAACAAAAAUUUAAGCAGCACCAGCACCCUUGCCCUUCUUCCUCUGUAACUUCUUCAUGUAGAAUUCCAGCUCUUUACCCUCCAAGAUGUAUCUGGCGGAAAUGAGAGAGCCCCAUCAAUGCAAGAAAAAAGAAAGCAAAUAUUACCAUUAUACUGUCUUGCUCUCCUGUAUCUAUCCAAUAACUACCAUGGAAAUAAAGAAACCUGUAUCUAUCCAAUAACUACCAUGGAAAUAAAGAAAAACAAGGAACAGCUUUGAUGGUCUCCAAAGCUAAUCUUAAGGUGUUUAAUGUCAUAAAAAAAUGACUUCUAGCGAUUGUUUAAUACCCAUUAAAAGGCAAGGGAAAGGAAAGGAUAUAUAUAUAUAGAUAGAUAGAUAGCUUAGGCUAACUCAUAUCCAGCUUCAACAGCAUGAAAGUUCAGGUAUGAUGGUGUUUGUUGAAUACUUUCAUUUUUGGUGCCUUCAAUAAAUCUUGAAAACUAAAAAGCAAUAAAAGGAGUCACAUACCCAUCAGCACGUCCACACUGGCCAGGCCGUGAUGCGAUACAAGCUAACAAACGACCACUACCAAACUGCUCCUCAAUAUGUGGGUCAAGUGUGCGAUCUUUUUGACGCUUCUCAAGCUUUCUCAAGACAUGGCUGCUCUUCUUUGCCUCCUCAGUGGCAGGAGCGUCUCCUUCCUAUCCACCAGUGAAACAAGACAAGUUAAAUAUCUAAGUAGCAAUCUUGCAAUCAAAUGAAAUGAGUUAUGCAUUUAAUCGAAAGAAGAAAAAUACAGAGAAUCAUGCUAAAUUAUAUUCUACGAAAACAAGCUUAUGAAGCAUAAACACUAAUAAGAAAGCUUUGUCGCAAUAGUUUUCUAAGCAAGAGUUAGAAAGAUAAGAAAACCAUGAAAAUUAAGUGCGGAAAAUUUGAUGCCGUCCAAACAAGAUAAUAAUAGUUACGAUUACCUUACCAUACAUACAAAUACUCUUAUGUUCUUCCUGAUAGAGUUGAUUGACACAGAUAAAUUAGAUAAUUCUUCUAUUCCAUAAAAUGAAUAAUAUAAGUAUUGAAAUAUAUAUAUAUAUAUAUAUAUAAGCUGAUUAAGAAAAUAUAGAACACCAUAUCUAAAACCACAAUUGCAAUGCCCCAGCACAUUCAAGGCAACCCAAGUAAAAAGAAAUAUAAACAUAAGGCACCAGCUCAAAGAAUAAGUUGAUCAAAAAAAUUGUUAUACCUCUCCUUCUUUCUUGGUUGUGGCAGCAGCUGCAGCCUUCUUCUUGCGACCAAUGUCAACACCAUAAUGCUGGAGAUACCACUGCUUGAAUGGUGCUGCAUCAACCUGAACAAUGGCACUCUUCACCAAAGUUUGAGUACGGACCAGCUCAUUAUUGGAGGCAUUGUAUACCACAUCCAGAAUUCUGGUCUUACGAGUCACUGCUUCACUUCCCCAGGAGUAGUUUCCUGUGUCAAGCCUCAAAGCACGCCAUUUCACAUUACCUCCACGAACCCUAAUCCUCCUCACUGUCUUGUUGCUUGAUAGCUUAGUAUUUGCAGGUUGCCUUCCAAGCUCAUACCUUCAAUCAUAGGAAAGAAAAGAUAAAUCAAUUAAACAUUACAAACAAAGGCUUGAAAAUGUAAAAUGGGUGGUAAUUUUUUUUUUUUCUAGACAGCUUGCACUCGACUGUCAAAAAUAAGACAACCCCAUCAUAUGAAACACAAAAUAGUGCAAGCCCUCUUAGACGUGUCAGCAAAAUACCCAUAUCUGAAAACAAGGUUUAAAAACUACGAUUUGAUAGAUUAUUUUUGUUUAUGAAAGAUAAUAACCUGAGAUCAAAAUCAAAUGUUAUAACUACUCACAGCAGUUAAAACAUUGUAAAGAAACCAACAAUAUCCAAAACAGCAGUGAACAUUAUGAACAUUAACAAUCAACAAAUCACAAUCUCUGAAUUUAGAACUUAAAAAAAGGAACUUACUUUCUCUUCUUCCUCCAAGCCUUCUUCUUGC